GGUGAACGCUGGCGGCGUGCUUAAGACAUGCAAGUCGAACGCAGUCUUCGGACUGAGUGGCGCACGGGUGAGUAACACGUAACUGACCUACCCCCAAGUCGCGGAUAACUGGCCGAAAGGUCAGCUAAUACGUGAUGUGAUGUCCCCUUUCUGGGGGACCAUUAAAGGUUUACUGCUUGGGGAUGGGGUUGCGUUCCAUCAGCUAGUUGGCGGGGUAAAGGCCCACCAAGGCAACGACGGAUAGCCGGCCUGAGAGGGUAGCCGGCCACAGGGGCACUGAGACACGGGUCCCACUCCUACGGGAGGCAGCAGUUAGGAAUCUUCCACAAUGGGCGAAAGCCUGAUGGAGCGACGCCGCGUGAGGGAUGAAGGUUCUCGGAUCGUAAACCUCUGAAUCAGGGACGAAAGACGCGUAAGCGGGAUGACGGUACCUGAGUAAUAGCACCGGCUAACUCCGUGCCAGCCGCCGCAGUAA
rnacentral:rRNA from 1 species